AAGAGUGCCCCAGAGCCUAUGGUAUCCAAAAGGCCCAGAGACAUCUGGAGGUGAAGCCAGUGGAGGGAGCUGAUCCUUGGGAUUCUAAUAGGGAGUUUGUGAGUAUAUUGUUUACCAGAUUGAAGGGAUGCUGGCCCCAGGCUGAAGUCACAUUUACUUCUAACCUCUGGGUUUGGACUCUGACCUCUGGGUUCCUCUGACCUCUGGGUUUGGGCUAUAAGGAGAAAGGCUUCUCUGUGGUCUGGACAUAAUUGCCAUCCCAAUUACACCAAGCCGAAAGGUUCCAAGAACUUGGCCAAACUUGAACUCUGGAGAGAAGCGAAAUUCACUCCCUAGCUCUGGAAAGGGGAAUUUGGUAGAAGACGGAUCUCAUCCUUCCAAUUUCUUCCCCUCAGGUAGUUUUCUGUAUAUGGAAAAG